AUAGGGGAACCUUUUUUCCACCAAUGAUCAAGCAACAUAGGGGUGUGCCUUAUGAGCAACUAGUUUGUGUAGUUUGUCUUUGCGCAAUCGACGAACAUCAGAAAAUACUUCACAAACGCAAGUCUGAAUGGACUCAUUUCUUCUCCUAUUCACAUUGCUUUGUCUAAAAGCAGAUUUCAGUGAUGGCGUCCUGAUCACUCAGUGGCCGAAGUACAUAUCCAGACAUCCAGGCUCUUCAGUUGAAAUGCACUGUUACCAGAAUGAUACAGACUACGACUACAAAUACUGGUACAGACAAAAGAAAGGCGAAGGACCAGUGCUUAUUGGGAACAACAAUUUUAACUCUCCCUCUAUUGAGAAGGAUUUUGAAUCCGGCUUCAAAGUGUCAGGAACAGAGACAAAAAAAUGGACCCUGACGGUUAUUGUUAAAGAGGGGAUCGAUGCUGUGUAUCUCUGUGCUGCUAGUUAACACGGUGAAUGAACAGCGGUAAAUUACAAAACAAAAACACUACAGUAACACCUGCCUCAACCACAAAUAAAUACACCAUAUCUGUACAAAACAAGUCAGAAGAGCAAGAAAAUGCGCACAUGCAAAUUUCGUUAUUGCUCCUCCCUUCUAAAAAAAAAAAGAUGUGAUACAGUCAGUAGGGGGAGAUGUGGCAAUUUUAAUGUACAGAUUCACCUCUCGCUGUCUUUCUUAAAGUCUGAUACUCGCUUUGUCUCACCAUAAUAUUUUUCGCUGUGCGGG